UGAGGAAUAACAAGAUUUCUAAUGGCAGAAGUCCAGUACUUACCAAUAGGAGAAGAAACAUUUGGCUGAUUUGAAUGUAUGGUGUACUUCAAAAGAAAAUACUGAGGACUUCAGACUUGCUUGUGUUCUCAUACAUUAGUUGCGCAGAGCAGAUACAAACAUACAAACAUUUGGAAGUAAAGCAUUCUGACUGCACAGGAUAGCUUCAGUGGAUGUCUUGGCCACUUUCCUCUCUCCUUGUAGUGACAUCAAGGAAAUAGCACUGAUCUUGCAGAGUCUAUUUUUUCUGAAGAGUCUGUGGUCUGGAACAGAAUUGUGCACUCAAGUGAGAGCUAAUAGCACAGAUGUCCCCUUCUGGUAGUGGUGAGGGACUCCGAAAAGUCAGGGUGGAAACAGUGCAGAAGAGAUAGCAGUGUUAGCAUCUUGAUUGUGAGUACUUCUGGGAAAUACUAAGAUCCGAGGCAUCAGAUAGACUACUGCUACAGGAGGCAAGUGAAGCAAACUUUAUCCAAGGAGUGUAAUACUUGACACCUUUUUGGUGAACUUUAAUAAUCAUUCAAGAAAUGAAGAGGAAAGGAAGAGUAACACAUACAAGCCCUCAAACUUUUCAAUUCCAGUAAAAGAAGUAUUUAUCUGCAACAGCCGCAGUGAUCUUCAGGCUUCUGGGGAGUAAGCUUGAACCUUCAACAAUGUUUUCAAUUGUCAAAUAAUUGUCAAAUGUCCUCAUGAAGAGCUGGGAUACCAACGGAAAUGGGACUUUGAUUGUAAGGGGAUUUUUAAAUGCCGAUGUAAGAAAGAAUUUAAAAUUGAACCAACAAUAUGACAGAGACAUGGUGACAGAAAUCCUGUGCUGAAUAAAAUAAAAUACAAAUUAUAAGUUGCCAAAGCAUAAUAGAACUGUUCCUCUAUUUCAAAAAAUUUAUGGGUAGAUGUUCUUAAGCUGAUCAACUUGAAAUACAGGAGUUGAAAGUAUGAGAAGUUUUCAGUGUUUUUCUUGGUUGCAAUUAAAAAAGGUGAUAAAUUUAAUGACAAUGAGCAGAUUUCUCAAUAACUUUUUUUGGUUUUUCAGUGUUGAAAUAAAACGUCAUGAGGAUAAGAUUAGGCUACUUGCUGAGUUUCUGGCAGAUGCCAAGAAUGCAAGGUUACGGUACUGAGUUCUUGCAGGUUUUUCAUCGAGGAAUUUUUUCUGAAGCUCUUCUGAAGGUAGAUCUGGAUAGAAUGUGCUGUGGCACUUGCUUCUGGACACAUCACUGCACCUCCUGGUACAUGAUGUCAGUGCAAUCUGAGAGAAGGUCUUAGCCUUAGGCUAAGAGGAGAGCUUUCAUGAGACUGGUGCAGGCUCUACUUGAUAUAAAAUGAUUAAUUGUGGCUAAUAUAGCUCUGACAUCACAACCCAAGCCUGAUCUGACAAUUCCAGUUUUCCAUUAGUUAUGGCUUAAAUUCUGGUCUACAGAGCACAUUCGAGUCUUAUGCUCUGAACUCCCUUUUCAUAGCACAUUACACACUGAGCUGAAGCAGUCAGCAGGUCUUUGUCCCAGACAGCAGUGCCAGGAUAAACACUAACACACCUUUGAUGAAUAGUAAGGAAGCUUUCCCGACUUUGCUCUGAAAAGAAGUUAUUAUGAACAAGGAGCACUCAGGUCAGUUUUAUAGGUCUCCGCUGGGAGUCCCUACUAAGUAACUGACUGCUAACUAACACCUGAACUGAGGGGAAUUUCACACGAAUUCACAUUGCUGUUGUACUGCAAGUUCAUAAUGUGCAGUAGUACAGAAAUGAAAAGCUUAACUAUUUCAAGAGUGAAACAGCCUUUGUGUUUUGCAAUGUAAAGCUGUAAAGAAAAUUCUCAGCUCUCUCUUGUUGGUAAAUGGCUUUUACAGACAUACGCAGGUAAAACGGGUGUAGGAGAUGCAUACCACAGGAAGCAAUGAGAUGCUGUGCUGAGCUGUUUAUUUUUUGAAUGGUAUUCUUUGUCCAUACGUGGCUAAAAGACCUUUACCUGCUCUAAUGCAUUAUGUCCACAAAUUCGUCUCUGUCUACAGAAGUAGUGUAAUUACAUUUUGUAAUGAAAAUGGCUGGUUAUAUACAGACUCUUGUUAUAUAGACUCUGGUUAUAUACAGACUCUUCCCAUUGAUAAAAUACUAUGGACAGAGAAAGUAACAACAAAAAAAGUGUUGCAAGUAUCAAAGAAUACUCGUUGACAUUCUUUUGGAGACCAUGUCUGGCCUUUCUACAAAGGGGACUGCUUGAAUUGUGCAGACCCCAGAGCUCAUCAGAAUACACCAACCUGACAGUACCACAAAACUGAGCCCUGGGUCUCAGUUAUACAUUUACUCAGAAUACUGCAGGACUCUAAAGAAUGUUCACUUUCACGCUCUCUCAAGCACUCUCUCUGAAUGUACUUUCAGUCUGUUUAAUCAAAGUAUUCCAUAAUUGGAAAGCCAGCUCUUCUCUGUAAAAAUGUACAGACUCCUAAUAGGAAAUAUAAUUUCCACAUUAAUUAACCAUGUCACACAUUUUUUUUUUUUUUUUUCCCAUGGGAUAAUUUAUUACUUCUUGUCUAAGAUAACCUAUUAUUUUUUAAAUUAGAGCAUACUGAUGUUGUUUGAAGACUAGUUUUGACUCUGGUUCAAUAAGGAAAUAAUAUUAUUACUAUUCAAUAUGAGGAAAUAAUCUUAUACUUACCUCUAAG
ensembl:lncRNA